UACGUAGGGGGCAAGCGUUGUUCGGAAUUACUGGGCGUAAAGGGCGCGUAGGCGGCAUGGCAAGUCAGGAGUGAAAGGCCUGGGCUCAACCGAGGAACUGCUUUUGAUACUGCCAAGCUAGAGUGCGGAAGGGGCAACUGGAAUUCCCAGUGUAGCGGUGAAAUGCGUAGAUAUUGGGAAGAACACCCGAGGCGAAGGCGGGUUGCUGGGCCGACACUGACGCUGAGGCGCGAAAGCCAGGGGAGCAAACGGG
rnacentral:rRNA from 1 species